GAAAUGCGAUAAGUAAUGUGAAUUGCAGAAUUCAGUGAAUCAUCGAAUCUUUGAACGCACAUUGCGCCCGCCAGCACUCUGGCGGGCAUGUCUGUUCGAGCGUCAUUUCAACCCUCAGAACCCCUUGCGGUAUCUGGCGUUGGGGAUUGGCAUCCAGCCAGCCCCGAAAUCUAGUGGCGGUCCCUCCGCGACCUCCCCUGUGCAGUAGCGAUACCUCGCAGCGGGACAGCGGUCUGACCACGCCGUAAAACCCCCAACUUCUCAAGGUUGACCUCGAAUCAGGUAGGAAUACCCGCUGAACUUAAGC
rnacentral:misc_RNA from 1 species